rnacentral:rRNA from 1 species
AGAGUUUGAUCCUGGCUCAGGAUGAACGCUGGCGGCGUGCCUAACACAUGCAAGUCGAACGGUAACAGGUUCUCACUAUGCUUUUGAAGUUUUCGAAGGUUUAGUGAGAAUGCUGACGAGUGGCGGACGGCUGAGUAACGCGUGGGAACGUGCCCCAAAGUGAGGGAUAAGCACCGGAAACGGUGUCUAAUACCGCAUAUGAUCUUCGGAUUAAAGCAGCAAUGCGCUUUGGGAGCGGCCUGCGUCGGAUUAGGUUGUUGGUGAGGUAAUGGCUCACCAAGCCGACGAUCCGUAGCUGGUCUGAGAGGAUGACCAGCCAGACUGGAACUGAGACACGGUCCAGACUCCUACGGGAGGCAGCAGUGAGGAAUCUUCCACAAUGGGGGAAACCCUGAUGGAGCAACGCCGCGUGCAGGAUGAAGGCCUUCGGGUCGUAAACUGCUUUUAUUAGCGAAGAAUAUGACGGUAACUAAUGAAUAAGGGUCGGCUAACUACGUGCCAGCAGCCGCGGUCAUACGUAGGACCCAAGCGUUAUCCGGAGUGACUGGGCGUAAAGAGUUGCGUAGGUGGUUUGUUAAGUAGGUAGUGAAAUCUGGCGGCUCAACCGUACAGGCUAUUACCUAAACUGGCAAACUCGAGAAUGGUAGAGGUCACUGGAAUUUCUAGUGUAGGAGUGAAAUCCGUAGAUAUUAGUAACACCAAUGGCGUAGGCAGGUGACUGGACCAUUUCUGACACUGAGGCACGAAAGCGUGGGGAGCGAACCGGAUUAGAUACCCGGGUAGUCCACGCCGUAAACGAUGGAUACUGGCUGUUUGGGGUAUCGACCCCCCAAGUAGCGAAGCUAACGCGUUAAGUAUCCCGCCUGUGGAGUACGGUCGCAAGACUAAAACAUAAAGGAAUUGACGGGGACCCGCACAAGCGGUGGAUCGUGUUCUUUAAUUCGAUGAUAAACGGAGAACCUUACCAGGGCUUGACAUCCAGGGAAGCACUGCGAAAGCAGCGUGUGCCUUUUGGAACCCUGUGACAGGUGUUGCAUGGCCGUCGUCAGCUCGUGUCGUGAGAUGUUUGGUUAAGUCCAUCAACGAGCGC